CCUGAGAAACCCGAAAGAUCGAACGGGGAGAUUCAUCGUCAGCGAUUCUGGUACUUGUACGGUUCGCGAUACCACGGGGCUUCUGUCUCGUGGCACGCGUCCGUGCGAUUUUUUGCCGGUAUCGUCGGCGUGCACUUCUCCCCUGGUAGGACGUCGCGACCCGUUGGGUGUCGGUCUACGGCCCGGGUGGUAGCCUGUCUCGUGUGCGCCUCGCGGCGUUUACGCGGGUCAGACCCCCGGCUGCCCGACCCUGCUGCCCGGCGGUGUAAUUUACGGUAUCUAGUCGCACGUAUUCAAACUGCGUCCGGCCCGUUGCAAGCGAGGCAAGUGCUUUCCCGGAUGUUCGGAUCCAAUGCCGUCACUGGGCCUUGCCAGCUGUUGGUUGACGGUGUCCUAGGACUGACUAUUGCAAUUAUGAUACCGGUCGGCGAUGCUACUGCUUUGGGUACUUUCAGGA
rnacentral:rRNA from 1 species